UUCGCCGGAGUCGACCUGAUUUUAAAUGGACAUCCACAUUUCUUCGACGCACUUUGGGUACCACUAUCACUAAUCUUGUGUUUCCCACCUUUAUCACAACCAAAUAUUAUUUUGUUACUUCUCCCUCUCUUUCCCGUUUCAGUAUCUGAACGACUGAUAAUAACAGUUACUUUAUUGUUGAUUCCAACCUCUUUAAUCCAUCUGAUAACAUCUUCU
rnacentral:lncRNA from 1 species